UACGGAGGGUGCGAGCGUUGUCCGGAAUCAUUGGGCGUAAAGGGCGCGUAGGUGGCGGCUUAAGCGUGCGGUGAAAGCCCGGAGCUCAACUCCGGGUCGGCCGUCGAGACUCCUCGGCUCGAGCUCACUAGAGGCAGAUGGAAUUCCGGGUGUAGCGGUGGAAUGCGUAGAGAUCCGGAAGAACACCGGUGGCGAAGGCGGUCUGCUGGGGUGAGGCUGACGCUGAUGCGCGACAGCGUGGGGAGCAAACAGG
rnacentral:rRNA from 1 species